GACUCACACCACUGAUUCUCCUUCAUCUCCAGCUUGCUGACUGCAGACCUGGCGGCUUCUUAGCCUCCUUAAUCACCUCACUUAUUCUCUCUUUAUGUGAUCUGCUGCCCAAGCCGUAUGGACACUUGAAAUUGGAAAUGGCUGAUACUCAAAUGAGUAUAAGCCAAACAUGGCUCAUUUAACAGGUUAACUGACAACACGGCAGCAAAGAAGCGAGAGAGUAUGAGAGAAUGUCAGCAACAGAGACAAAGCUGGCAGGAUGGAGGUCAGACUCUUCUGUAACCUCAACAUGGAAAUGACACCCCAUCAUCUGCACUCUAUUAUUUUUGUUAGAAGCGAGUCACCAGGUCCCGUUUAUACUCAUGGGAAGGGGAUUACUCAAGGGUGUGGGUGGCAGGAGGUGGGGAUCCCUGGGAACCCUAUCAGAAGCUGCCUACCAUGUCUAUAUAAAGUAAUAUUUGAGAUCCAAGUGCUGAUCCAGUACAGAAAAACUCUCCAACCAUUUUUGCCACCUAUAACUUUGCAGUUAGGAACGUCCACAGGAAUAUUAGAACUGUUUCCCUUUGAUAGAAGGCCAUAUGUCAGUGGAGGUGUUUUUGGCGCUUACUAAUGCACUCAGUAACUUGAUUUGAAAAGAGAACUGUGCAAUACUGUAUAAUUUCAAACACUUUCCUAGCAAAAAUAUAUUACCUUUAAUUAGGCUGAUUUAAAGCUGUUAAGAUUCUUGUCAGAAAUAAUUUUUAAGUGGAUGUGUCAAGAUGAAAACAGCAGUUGUCAAGUGAAGAAAGCGGUAAUUUGUGUGUGUGCUGUCUGGCUUAUGAGAAAUUGGGUCUUUAAAUACCAACCAAGCAUUCCUGCUAACAAUUUCUUUUAUAGAAGCCAUUCUGGCAGUUUGGGAUUCAAAAUGUUGGAAUGCUAUUGUUUGUGGUAAAUAUUUGUCCUAUGACUAGGGAAUUAAAUUUAGUUCCUACCCUGUAAUAUAGACAAAAGCAUCUCUAAGAAGAGAAAGCAUUUAAGCAAUUAAAUUCACCAAGUGGUCAAACACAUAGCAUGAGCAAAGCAUUCUGGGUGAUUACAGAGUGGAAUAAUAAUAACAAUAAUGAAGACCACUCUUAGAUGAAAGCAAAUCAGGUGACUUUAAGCACUCGAAAAAGCUUGAAUUCUACUUGCAGUCUUUUUAGGCUACUAAUUUCUUUAGCAAGCUUUUGUUAUUGGGCAGUGAAAAGGAGGGCUUUUGCUUGACCUCUAUGGUAGGGUUUCUUAGUAGUGGCACUGUUGACAUUUUGGGUCACGUAAUUCUUUGUUGUGGGGGGGCUGUCCUAUGCACUGUAAGAUGUUUAGCAGCAUUCCUGGCUUCCCAGGAUGCCAAUAGCUUUGCUCCUCUCAUCCCAGUUGUGACGUUGAAAUAUGUGUGCAGACGUUGCCGGAUGUACCUGGAGGUAGAGAGAGGGGGGGAAAAAAUCACCACACUAUGGCAAUUACCACAGCUUUUGAAUCAGGGAAUUCUAAAUUAACACGAGGUAACAUUAUCUUACUUUUAUCCAUUGCAUUUAUAAAUAUUUUGUCUUUUCUCUUGGUCCUCAAAAGCAAAAUUCCAUAUGCUAUAUAAAAGAUAAUUCAUUCUCCUAGUCAUUGAGCCAGUGAACAUUCACUGAGUGCUUACUGCAUGCAAUCAACUUUCCCCAGGCAUUGCAAAGAAUACAGAAAAAAGUAGGUUUUUGUCCUCAAGAAGCUUGAGAUCUCGGAGGAGGUAGAGAAGGGAUUUAGGUCGUGUAUAUACAUGACUAUCAAGCAAGUAGGAAGAACUAAAUUCAAAUAAAGAAAGAGGUAAAAUUUAUUGAGAGGAACUUUUACUUUUCCCUUGCAGACCAGCGGUGAUUUAGAAGUUUAUCCCUGAGCUGGGAUUCUGGAAUCAGAGUUUAAUAGAGCAAGGUUAACCUAAGUUUUGGGGUAUGAGAGUAGAUUUGGAAUUGGAGCUAGACCUCUGGAACAAAACAUCAAAUCAAUGGGGGUAGGCAGAGAGAUAGAAACCCAGUCUGAAGCCAAAGGUUCUCAACCAGAAAUGGCAAGAUGGAGGGUGCAUGUUCAAGAGGACCAAAAAGCGGGGGAGCCUGGAAAAGGUUGCUGAAACACUGACAAACAGCCCCUGGUCCAUUUUGUAGGAAACUGCUAAUGAGCUCAGGUGCAAUCACAGCUGUAGGAGCACUAAACUGAUUUAAUGGGUGGGAGGCCUUCCAGUGGGACCAGAAUUAUUCUUCUCUUACCCAUGGUGCCCAGGAACUCAGCAGUGGUGUAUGGAAAGCAAUUCCAAGCCAUACACAGGCAAUGGAAGAUGAGAUAUCAGAGGGUCCUGCUUCCAAGUACCUCCCACUGGCCAGCCCUGUGCCCAACAUCUCCACCAUUAGGGCUUUGUCAUUUGGGUGAGUCUUCUGAAAAAGCAAACAUUCUCCCCAAAAUGGUGUUAUUAUCCAUGAACUCGUGGUGUUAUAAUUUUCGAAGUAUAUUCCAAAGACUCUUAAUAGGUAUUACCUUGAAGAGUUUAAUCAACCAAUUAGUUUCUGAAGUGCCUGGUAAAAGAAAUUAAACACAUUUUUUUACUGCAGAAUUUAUAAGAACCUUUAAGAUACAUCAUCAAUCUCAAAUGGAGGGUUAUACUGUGAAACACUUCCAAAAUUUAUUUGAAUACAAAGCCAUUUUAUCGUGUAACAUCUCAUGAGAACAUGGUGUAUGCUACAUGCUUUGUGUAACCCUGCGUGGUUGUGAAAUGAGUGGCUGUUGCCAACUGUCUGGACUUUAAGUGAAUGGGGUAUAGCAGGAAAAAUAUAUCAACAUGUGCAUAUUCACAGACCUCUCCCUCCACACCUGCUAAAGGAAAACUUGACUUUGCCAGUUUGGUUCCACCGCAUUUCUUGCCCCACCAAAUAGAGUUCUGUCUUGAUCACCAGUUUCAUGGUCUUUAUUAUACAUCACUGUAAAUGGUGAAGUCUGGAGAUGCUGGCUAAUUACUCUAAAGAGCAGAUGAUAGGAGAAAAAUAACGGAAAUAUUAAGGGGGGAAUGAAAAGUAGGGCAGGUUUGGAGAGCAGUCGUUGGUGGAGUAGGGCAGGUAACUGACUCUGAGAGCUGCCUUUGUGCAUCUUGGAGUCUGAGAAAGAGCGAAUGCCUGGUAAGAGAAUAUUUUUCUGGACGUGAGAAGAGUAAUUCUUAAGUUGACGUUUUUCCUUAUCAAACUGUAGUAAACAUUUAAAUUGCUUUUUAUUUACUUUUGGUUGCUAGGAUGAAUUUAUUUAAAUAUGAAAAUGAGCUGAAAUGGGGUGUUAAGGUGGGAUCCAAAAGGUCUGUCUUUAUAAAGGCAGUUACAGGGAAUAUUUAACGAGAAGCAGAGAUCCUGGGUUAAGGUGAAAGAGAGUCGGAGUAUGUGAGUAUCCUGGAAAUAAAGGCUUACUGGGAUGAUCUAGUGAAUGUUAUUUUUGCCUUCCCAUUCGCCUUCUCAGAACAACAAUCUCCUUCUUGUAGGAAUUGCUCCUCUCCUGCUCCAUGCGGUUCUGGGGAGCUGCCAAUCACAGGACAUAGCCCUGUGGCCACAGGAAUGGGCACACAUUCCAGUAGGCCUGGUCAAUCAUAGUUGCCCAUUUCCAUGGCUUCAAAGAUGGGCACAUGACCCAGUUCAGGCCAGUCAGACUCCUUCCCUGAAAUUUUAUAUAACAAAAUGAUGGAAUAGAGAGGCUCUGGUGUGACUAAGCAGGGAUGAUGCUAGCCUGUCAUCUGGAUUCACGCUUCUUUUAUCAUUCCAUCCCUCAACCUGGCCACUAGGAAGAAGCCAAUCUGUAGAAAAGAAGGUGGACAUCAGUAGAAUCUGAGAUGGGAGAUGGAGGGAGAUGGUAAAACGUAGUCACACUGUCUAAGUUACUGGGCUCCCCAAGGCCAGCUUACCUCUGCACUUCUCCACUAUUUGAGCCAGACAUUCCAGUUUAGCUUAACUAAUUUUAGUUUCUGUCAUUUGUAACCAAAGGAGUCCCAAUGAUUUAUCCAGCAAUGUGCUGAGUGCCUUGAGGAGAGAAAGUGUAGAUGGCUGUCAUGAGGGAGAAAGGCCGUGAAGGUGGAGAGAGAACGUGUUACUGUAAACUUUCUCUUGAGCUCUAUUUGCUUGGAGCAGAACCUGAUGGGGACCUGAUGGUGUGAGGAGGGAGUGGGAGUCGUAAAGUGAGUGAGAAUUGAGAAAUUAAUUUCCUCUCUUUGCCUUGAAUCGGCUGCCCUUCUGAGGUGAUAAGGCAAGAUGAGCUGGGUUCCUUGGAUGAUUCUUGGGAGGAUCCAGUAAAAUGGCAUAUGUGGAAAAGCCACAAAUCAUUCUAUACACAUUAACUCUCAUGUCCAGUCAUCAAGGAAACGUGUUUCAUUCUGAGAUGAAGAUGGAUGCUCACUGUACAAAUAAAGCAUGUGAGAGGUAAACGGGCACUGUUGGAUACAUGCAUCGUUGGAAGAAAAUAAGACGGUGGCCAUGUCAUUCUGACCCGACUUUCCCUUCUUUGACUUGAUACUCCACCUUCAGAAACAGGGAAAGUCUCCAUGGCUCAGCUCUUCCAGCAACGCUGCUCACUGUGGUGAUAUCUAUGAGUUAACUUCACCAUCCUUGCAGACAGCUGCCAUGUUGUGAGGACCUUCAAGCAACUCUGUGAAGAAUUGACAUGGUGAGGCUUCCUGCCAGCAGCUGGCACCACCUUGCCAGUCAUCUGAGUGAGCCAUCUUGGAAGUGGAUCCUCCAGCCUCAGUCAUGCCUUCAACUGACUCCAACCUCAUGAGGUGCCCUGAGCCAGAACCACACAGCUAAACUUCUCUUCAUUUCCUGACCUAUAGAAAGUACAAGAGAAAACAAAUUUUUGUUGUUUUAAGCUGAUGACUUUGUGGAUAACUUGUUCUGCAGCAAUAGAUAACUAAUGCGUAAUGUUUGAAAGGUAAUCCUAGGAAGUUAAACGAGGGAGUGAGGAAAAUGAGUCAAGGAAGAAGGUAAAGUCAAUAAAGGGUAUGUUAGUGUGGACAACUGGGCUCAAUCUCAUUGGAGAGAUAUUGAGGAUUGUUUAAGAUGUGCCUGAAAACUGAGGCACCAAGGCAUGGAGAAGCUUAUAUAUUUUCCCACCAGCUCUCAUGCCUCAUUGGAUGAAGGUUGCCCAUGGGGAUAUUAAAUCCUCAAUGCUUUCAGGCUUGCCCUUGGGAUAGGAAAGGAUCAGAGAAAAUUCUCAGAGAAGCAGAAAGCUACAGGUGGUUAAAAUGAGAGGCUGUCAGCAUGUAAAAGAACUGUCCACUGAGGCCACAGAUGUACUCGGGGUGGAUUGAGUAGAUUACGGGGUGGAUUAUAGAGUGGGACUUCAAUAGCGUCUGCCACAUAGCUUCACAGUCUUUUUCAUUGCCAUGCUUUGAGCAGCCACUCCCAAUCAAUUAGUGUUGGGAUUUGAGAUAAAAUCCAUCUGACUUCUCUAGUUUAGAAUAUACUCCCCACUCUUUGUUCUGUCCCCUCCACUCAACACCACUUUCCACCUGGUGAAUUCUUACUUAACUCUCAAAGGUCAAAGGCUACCUACCCAGUGACCCUUCACGAAUAAUGUCCCCUUUGCCUGGCUAAAUUAGCUUCCCUCUCUUUGCUGAUGUCUUGCUCUCAGUAGUCACACGGACUGAAAUCAUUUAUGUGUUUACCUCCCUGACUCGCCCGCUGGGGAACUUUUGCUCGUCUCUGUAUUCCUAACGUCUGGCACAUAUUAGGCCCUCAAAAAAUAUGAGCUAAAAGAACAAGACUUGAAGACUUGAGAUAAAGGUACAAGUCUCCUUGGUGUUCCACAGUAUUGCCCCUGAGUUCAUUCUCCCUGCAGAGGUACUCACAGACAUCUUUCACUGUGGGUAAAAGAAACAUGUUUACACACUUUUGCAUUACUUGGAUUACUCUGGAUAGAAGGAGUAAUCCAAGUGAGAAUAAAGAUUCUGCCAAACUGGUUUUGGGAAAAUAUAAUUUUAAGCCUCAGGCCACCCAAUACUUCAAUUUACUUACCAUGUGUAUUUUUUAACCUAUAUUCUACUGACUUGAUAAAGUUUUUUACUUUAAAAAAAUAGAUUCUCCAUAGCAAAGUCAUGGAAUGGUUAUGUUGCCAUGUUAAGUGUGGCAUGAGGUUUGGUUCUCAUUAUUAAACUUUGAAGGAUGAUGUGUAUAUGGGGGGGAAGGGGGGAAGUGACCAGCACUAUUUCAAAGCUGGCAUUGUUUCUAAAGGUCCCUGGAGAAUGUUACUAUCCCCAAACAUUAACAGAUGUCAGUCUCCUGUCCUGGUUUGACCCGAGGCCCUUACCCAUGGUUCGCUUGCGUAGCACUUUAGCCCGUGUGGAUUUCGGAUUUCGUCAUCUUUCCCUUCAGGGUAGGACAAGCAAAGAGAAGAGAAGUGAGUUUCAUUUUGGCUCAUUUUCUUUUGUUUUUAUCUCAUCAG
rnacentral:lncRNA from 1 species